GGGGGUAUAGCUCAGUCGGUAGAGCAUCGGACUUUUAAUCCGUGUGUCCUGGGUUCGAGUCCCAGUGCCCCCA
rnacentral:tRNA from 1 species